ACCAGACUCCUACGGGAGGCAGCAGUGGGGGAUAUUGCACAAUGGGGGGAACCCUGAUGCAGCGACGCCGCGUGGGUGAAGAAGCGCCUCGGCGCGUAAAGCCCUGUCAGCAGGGAAGAAAAUGACGGUACCUGAAGAAGAAGCCCCGGCUAACUACGUGCCAGCAGCCGCGGUAAUACGUAGGGGGCAAGCGUUAUCCGGAUUUACUGGGUGUAAAGGGGGCGCAGACGGCGAUGCAAGCCAGGAGUGAAAGCCCGGGGCCCAACCCCGGGACUGCUCUUGGAACUGCGUGGCUGGAGUGCAGGAGGGGCAGGCGGAAUUCCUGGUGUAGCGGUGAAAUGCGUAGAUAUCAGGAGGAACACCGGUGGCGAAGGCGGCCUGCUGGACUGCAACUGACGUUGAGGCCCGAAAGCGUGGGGAGCAAACAGGAUUAGAUCCCCUUGUA
rnacentral:rRNA from 1 species